rnacentral:lncRNA from 1 species
CACAGGAAGAAAAUUUUCCUUGACCUUUAGGUGCUUUUAUAUUCAUCUCAAAAACAAAAUUCUGAACUCAGGACUUGGCAAGUGUCUCUAUGUUGUCUCCUAGAGUGGGUAGUCCUGCUUCUUUUACCCAGUUACUUUCCCGUUUUUGAAAUGUGGCUAUCACUUCUCUACACAUUACCUCCAUGAUUUGGAAUGGAAAAGGCCACUUUUCUUUUUGUUCUGCCUCUCAAAUUCAACACAGAGGAGCUCCUAGGAUUCCAGUUAUCCUGCUAACAUCUCCAGGAAGAAAGAAGCAACUCACAUGGGUCUUUUGCUGUUUGCUUAAUUAUAAAGACAUCAUUUUGCAAGCAGAAGGCUGAGUUUCAUUUGAAACAGGUGCUUAGGUGGUGGUAUUUGUGAAUACUUUUCAUUCCAAGCAAGAAGACUAAAGAAGUAGCAAGUAUGAAUGACUUCAGGGUUUAAAAAAAAUGUCUUCCAGUUUCAGCCACUACCAUGAUAAGCACAGUUGAGACUGCAGCAGUAAAUUCCAAAUAUGUGUUUCUAAUUUGACGUGAAAGAUACUAAAAAUUUAUAUUUGUAUAUUUAAAUCCUGGCUCAUCCUGUGACAUAGAUUUACUGAAUAGGAACAAAGGCCCAAUUUUAAACAAAAACCUAGGCCGGGUGUGGUGGCUCACACCUGUAAUCCCAACACUUUGGGAGGCCAAGGCAGGCAAAUCACCUGAGGUUGGGAGUUUGAGACCAGCCUGACCAACAUGGAGAAACCCCAUCUCUACUAAAAAUAGAAAAUUAGCCAGGUGUGGUGGUAGAUACGUGUAAUCCCAGCUACUCGUGAGGCUGAGGCAGGAGAAUUGCUUGAAUCCGGGAGGCGGAGGUUGCAGUGAACUGAGAUUGCACCACUGCACUCCAGCCUGGGCGACAGAGUGAGACUCCGUCUCAGAAAAAUAAAAAACAACUUUGGACAUAGAGGAGUUGGGGGCAGAGGGGGGAGGAUGAGAGAAUUUUCCAUGUAACUCCUUUUCCUUAAGAAAAAGAAGCAAAAAUCCCUCAUGCAGUGCCAUCUGACUUUAUGGUGUUUCACAUUAUAUAGUUACUUUUUUUAAUAAACGCAUAAGAUUAACUCUUCCUGCAACCCAAGGUGGAUACUUGGAUGUUUGAUUUUUAUUUAUUUAUUUAUUUAUUUUUUGAGGCAGUCUCUCUCUGUUGCCCAGGCUGGAGUGAUGCGUGAUUUCUGCUCACUGCAGUCUCUCCCACCCGGGUUCAAGCGAUUCUCCUGCCUCAGCCUCCCAAGUAGCUAGGAUUACAGGCGCGCACCACCACGCUCAGCCUGAUUUCUAGGCUGAAAAGGCUGGGACUCAGGUACUUUCCCCAGUUGGGACUGAACUUUCUCAUCAGAGAAUGGGCCUCAGAAGCAAUGUUCCCAAACUUGUGGUUGGGUCAUCGUGGAAAAGAAACCUCAAAUAAGAAAAAUAAUUACAAUAAGAAAUGGAUUUUCUUUUUUCCCACAACAGUUAUACAUUAUAAAGAACAGACUGUCGUAGAAAACUGUCUUUGCUUCCAAAUCAGCAGAGGACCAUUGUAUGUAUUGUCAGGUCUUUAUAUAAGAGUGAAACCUUUAUUUAUGCUUCUUGUGAGUAGAGAAUAAAUUUUAAAACUAAUUAGAUGAAAUUAAGAACAGAGUAUUGGAACAUCUCUGUGUUUUCCGGAAUGUUUACUCAGGUCCAUGAAUGCUGUGAUGCUGGGAACUUAGGGAAGAUUCACCAAAAUUUGAGAGUGAUAAAAAUGGCCUAAAAUGGGAAAUGGUGAGCACUCUUAUUAUUAGUGAGAUUGGUCAAUCAGCCCAUUUGAAAUGGGUAAAAAAUACUUUCAGUAAAAUAAUUACAUAUUAUAUAUAAAAUAUUUCUUUUUUUGAGGGCAGCUACUGAGUGAUAAAAGCAUAGUAGAAAUCACUUUGGUUAAAAGUAACUCAAAUUUUUCUCUUAAGUAAUCUACCAACUUCCUGAUGUUUUUCUUUAAUAUUUUGGAACUGUUCAAGACAGAAUGGAGCCUACAUAUAUGGUGUUCCACUAGUAUGUUGAAAAUGUCAUAUCAUGGAGAAUGGAGACACCUUCCAGGUGUCUGUUAAACCCAUCUUCUCUGUGUACUUCUGGCAUCUUUUUUGGUAGGAUCAUUUGGCAGGGGGUAGAGUACCUGUACUUUUGGCACCAUUGAAACCAGCUCUGGCCCACUUGUUUGAAUAGCUAUCAGACUCAGCGUCUCUAUAUGCUUUAUAUACAGUUGAGAGAACCAGUGUUUAAUGCUCUUGAAAUUGUAUCUUCCAUGCUUCAGACCAGAUGCAUUUAACAAAAUGGAUAUAUUCCAGCUGUAGUUGCCCAGUGUUUACUUAACACAUCUACAUUUUUUUCUUGUCUAUUUUGGUCCCCUUGAUAGGAAAAGCUAUAAUUUUAGGCAGGACUAUACGUCGAUUUGUAGCCAUGCUUCCUUCCUUUCCCUUGCUCAUCCAUGUUAGCUGGCAGUUUUUCUUUUGAAAAGUUAAAACCGGGAUAUGUGCAAUAGAAAUAUAUAUAUAUAUAUGUAUAUUUUAAUACUUGUGGACAAAUGUUACAAGUUGUUUAAGAACAACAAAAUCACCAAUGUCUUCCAUUUUGAGAUGUGUAUAGUUUUGUAAGCAUUAGUGCUUGGUAGCAUAUUGUAGUGCCAUGUUAGGGGUUAGUGCAUGAGUCUAGUGAUUUUAAACUUCAGGAUGAAUUAUUGAUAAUAACAAAUAGUGUAAAAAGAGUGGAAAAUCUAAACCUUUUCUUUUUCCAUAAUGUCUAAAUCUGUUAUAUUCUUCCUGGGGAAAAGAGAUUAAGGCCCAAAAGACUCAUUUAUGAAUAGAAAUGUGGGGUCAAAAUCUGAGAUACUAUAUUUGAGGACAUUUCAGCUUUCCAUAAGGUAUCUGGAAACCAGCUGUCUUUGUGUCUUAUGAAACCUCAAGUCAAAAUGAGACCGCAUUUAAUUAUUCUGCUUUGCUCUUUUUUUGGGGUGGGGGGGAGAUAGAGUUUCACUCUGUCACCCAGGCUGGAGUGCAGUGGCACAAUCUUUGCUCACUGUAACCUCUGCCUCUUGGGUUCAAGUGAUUCUCGUGCCCCAGCCUCCCGAGUAGCUGGGACUACAGGCACGUGCCACCACGCCCAGCUAAUUUUUAUAUUUUUAGUAGAGACGGGGUUUUGCUGUGUUGGCCAGGCUGGUCUCAAACUCCUGACCUCAAGUAAUCCACCUGGCCUGCUCUUUUCAUGUCUUAACAUGGCAUGUCUUUUAGUUUCAUUAUUUUCCUACUCCUUGUAUGUCAAGAAAUUACAUUUUGCAUGUCUUAUGGAGAUGCUGUUAAUUGCUUCAGUGAGUGCUUUUCUAAUCUGCAGACCAUUUACAUUUCCUGUUUGCAGCAUGCUGUGUGCAAACACUCAGUAAUUUGGAGUAUUCAAUUAUUUGUUAGGGCUCUUCCUAUUUCCAAAUGUGCUGAAUUGUCUAUUGAUGGGAUUUUCAGAUCUUUUCAUGAGAACUGGAAAUGUAGCUGGGUGGCACCUACCUAGGUUGCUACGUAGUGAGUAGACUUUCUCUUGGGUAUAGUAAGCCUCAGACAGCUUUCACUUUUAUCUACUUUACUUGUGGAAAUAAAACAGUCAUUUUGUUCUGAAAGAAUAAGAUAGCUUUCUGUAGAGAAGGAAUUCCUACCUCUAAAAGCUGCCUUGAGAACUCAGAACUGGCAGUUUUCUGAGGUGAUUUUUAAAUUUCAGUAUUAGGGAGAGUCCAGCAUUUGCUGACACAGAUUCUACAUAACUAAUGUAUGAUAGCAAAUGCAAAACUAUUAUAAUGUGGUGUAUCUUGCGCAUACACAGGUUAGAACAAGUAGACUCUGGCAGCAGAUCUCCAGAGACCCAAGUUUAGGUUCUCAUAGUGUAUUUGAAGUAGUUAUACUCCUGGCUUAAGUAGUUUAGUGCCUGGGAGAAUCCAUUACUGAAAAGCAUUUAACUUAAAAAAAAAAAAAAAAAAAAAAAAAAAAACUGAAAAGGUAGUGAAUACAGAAUAGCACAAUAUAUAGGAAAGGAUAUUUCCUGUUGAAAAAAAAAGCCAUAAAAUUAAUAGUAAUUUUCAAGAGGUAGAAUUUUAGUAGCAAUAAGUUUGUGCAUGUAUAGUAAUUUGCAUUAGCAAGGUUGUACAAUAGAAUAAGUGAUACUACUGGAGUUUGUGGGCCACUGCACCUGGCCUGUAGUAGCUUAAAAUUUUCCUUGAGAAAAUUCCUGACUUUAAAAAUAACCCUUAUAUAAGUACAAGUGAUUGUGACAAAUGACGUAAAAAUGGCAUUCAUGAUGUCUGAAACAAGCCUAAAUAGAAUUCAAGAUUAGACUAAAUGAUUUUCACAAAGCACAUUCAAGGUUUUACAUUCUAUGAUUGAAAAAAAUUUUUUGAAAACUUUUUAUUUCAUUCUUUCCUGUAGGAUUUUGCUACAAAUAACUUUGGGAAUGAAUAAAGUGGAAUGGUAACUUUCCAGUGGUUCAGAAUUGAAUUAGACUUCUUGUGACUGUGAUGUUUGGUUUCCAUUGAAAUAUAUGAAGUGAGAUGUCAUAUCCUGAAUAUAGUUUGUCUUCCCCAAUUACUUGAUAGCAUGUCUGUCAGCCAGUAAAGAUUAAGAACAGAGUUUCUCUAAAUUCCUCCGAUUAUUCCACUAAGGCACAUUAAAAUACUUAAUUUUGGGAAACCAGACAUCACAGAUUUCUCCAUGAAGUCCUAAAUCUUCUUUAAAGUCAGAAUAGGUAUCUUAGUUACUGACAGUAUUCAGGUUUUUUUCUCCCUUGGUGAUAUGUCAUUCCAUCAGUGAAAAAAUAUUUUCUCCCAGGGAUAAGAAAGGUAUUCUGGUAAUACAUUAUCAUCAAUCCUUAAACAGUAACAGUCUUGGCACUUAUCACAAAACCGACCCAUUUCUUAUAACCAGAAAGAUUAUCUUAGACUGUCCUUCACAUUAUACUUUACCUACUGCCUUGUAAGAAUAAGAGUUGCUCACUGUGUUUACUUGCUGUCCUCCAUAUUCUCCAUUGCACCAUUGGUGUAUAACGUUAAGAGUUUCAUUGAAUAUUAUUUUAAGUAUUACAAAAGGCAGCUUGCUUCUUAAUCUAUGCAUCUUUGGGGUUUUUGAAGAAAUUUAAUUCUUUGAUGUAAAAAGGAACUGUUAAAAAAGUUGGAAGCUCUGCACCUGUGUAUAUAUAUAUUUUAGCAAUAAAGCAGCAUGGGCUGAGAAUGCACUGAAAU